AGAUCUAUAGCUCAGUUGGUAGAGCAUGAGCCUCUUAAUCUCAGUGCGAUGCGUUUGAGCUGCACAUUGGGCGA